rnacentral:rRNA from 1 species
CUUGGUCAUUUAGAGGAAGUAAAAGUCGUAACAAGGUCUCCGUUGGUGAACCAGCGGAGGGAUCAUUACUGGGUGGCUUCGGCCUAAACCCCCAACCAUUGUGAACACUACCAGUUGCUCAGCAGGCUGGUGGCGGUGUAACAACUGCCCUGCCUGCGGCACAAAACUCUUCUAAUGUCAUCUCUGAGUUACUUUUAAAUAAGUUAAAACUUUCAACAACGGAUCUCUUGGUUCUGGCAUCGAUGAAGAACGCAGCGAAAUGCGAUAAGUAAUGUGAAUUGCAGAAUUCAGUGAAUCAUCGAAUCUUUGAACGCACAUUGCGCCCGCUAGUAUUCUGGCGGGCAUGCCUGUUCGAGCGUCAUUUCAACCAUCAAGCCCUAGGGCCUGUGUUGGGGCGCUGCGGCCGCCGCAGCCCCCUAAAAUCAGUGGCGGACUCGCUGUCAUUCCGAGCGCAGUAGCACAUCUCGCUCAGGGCGUGGCGGCGGGCUCCGGCCGUAAAACACUUACAAACUAAGGUUGACCUCGGAUCAGGUAGGAAUACCCGCUGAACUUAAGCAUAUCAAUAAGCGGAGGA